GUAAAGAGCUCGUAGGUGGUUUGUCGCGUUGUUCGUGAAAUCUCACGGCUUAACUGUGAGCGUGCGGGCGAUACGGGCAGACUUGAGUACCGCAGGGGAGACUGGAAUUCCUGGUGUAGCGGUGGAAUGCGCAGAUAUCAGGAGGAACACCGGUGGCGAAGGCGGGUCUCUGGGCAGUAACUGACGCUGAGGAGCGAAAGCGUGGGGAGCGAACAGGAUUAGAUACCCUGGUAGUCCACGCCGUAAACGGUGGGUACUAGGUGUGGGUUUCCUUCCUUGGGAUCCGUGCCGUAGCUAACGCAUUAAGUACCCCGCCUGGGGAGUACGGCCGCAAGGCUAAAACUCAAAGAAAUUGACGGGGGCCCGCACAAGCGGCGGAGCAUGUGGAUUAAUUCGAUGCAACGCGAAGAACCUUACCUGGGUUUGACAUGCACAGGACGCCGGCAGAGAUGUCGGUUCCCUUGUGGCCUGUGUGCAGGUGGUGCAUGGCUGUCGUCAGCUCGUGUCGUGAGAUGUUGGGUUAAGUCCCGCAACGAGCGCAACCCUUGUCUCAUGUUGCCAGCGGGUAAUGCCGGGGACUCGUGAGAGACUGCCGGGGUCAACUCGGAGGAAGGUGGGGAUGACGUCAAGUCAUCAUGCCCCUUAUGUCCAGGGCUUCACACAUGCUACAAUGGCCGGUACAAAGGGCUGCGAUGCCGCGAGGUUAAGCGAAUCCUUUUAAAGCCGGUCUCAGUUCGGAUCGGGGUCUGCAACUCGACCCCGUGAAGUCGGAGUCGCUAGUA
rnacentral:rRNA from 1 species